UACGUAGGGUGCAAGCGUUGUCCGGAAUUAUUGGGCGUAAAGAGCUCGUAGGCGGUUUGUCGCGUCUGCUGUGAAAACUCGGGGCUUAACUCCGGGCCUGCAGUGGGUACGGGCAGACUAGAGUGCGGUAGGGGAGACUGGAAUUCCUGGUGUAGCGGUGAAAUGCGCAGAUAUCGGGAGGAACACCGAUUGCGAAGGCAGCUCGCUGGGACGUCACUGACGCUGAGACGCGAAAGCGUGGGGAGCAAACAGG
rnacentral:rRNA from 1 species